GCCGUAAACGUUGGGAACUAGGUGUUGGCGACAUUCCACGUCGUCGGUGCCGCAGCUAACGCAUUAAGUUCCCCGCCUGGGGAGUACGGCUGCAAGGUUCAAUCUCAAAGGAAUUGACGGGGGCCCGCACAAGCAGCGGAGCAUGUGGGUUAAUUCGACGCAACGCGAAGAUCCUUCCCAAGGCUUGACAUAUACCGGAAAGCAUCAGAGAUGGUGCCCCCCUUGUGGUCGGUAUACAGGUGGUGCAUGGCUGUCGUCAGCUCGUGUCGUUAGAUGUUGGGUUAAGUCCCGACAACGAGCGCAACCCUUGUUCUGUGUUGCCAGCAUGCCUUUACGGGGUGAUGGGGACUCACAGGAGACUGCCGGGGUCAACUCGGAGGAAGGUGGGGAGGACGUCAAGUCAUCAUGCCCGUUAUGUACUUGGUCUGCACACGUGCUACAAUGGCCGGUACAAUGAGCUGCGAUGCCGUGAGGCGGAGCGAAUCUCAAAAAGCCGGUCUCAGUUCGGAUUGGGGUCUGCAACUCGACCCCAUGAAGUCGGAGUUGCUAGUAAUUGCAGAUCAGCAUUGCUGCGGUGAAUACGUUCCCGGGCGUUGUACACCCCGCCCGUCACGUCACGAAAGUCGGUAACACCCGCAGACCCGGUGGCAGCCAUCCCCUUGUGGGAGGGAGCUGUCGAAGGUGGGACUGGCGAUUGGGACGAAGUCGUAACAAGGUAGCCGUACCG
rnacentral:rRNA from 1 species